UUUUAAAUUUGUUUAUGCUGUAGAAACUAAAUGUAAAAUAACGAUGCUAACUCUGUGACCUAUUUUCAACAUGGCGGGUACUAGGAUUAUCACCGGAGCAACUGUGGAGCAAAGCACAUCGUCUUCACAGUGUUAAAACAUAAUACUUUCUUAAAUUUAUGAAGAACACGCACUAGAGAUGUUUGGGUACAUCUCAGAAGGAUUGGUGUGCACCAGAAUAUAACAAGAAAUGACCAUAGCAGCUGGUCGUCCUUAGAAUUUGCAUUUUUGGUUGAACCACUUUAGACUGUUGUCAGGCUUGGGUUCCUCAAUAUAUCCAUCUCAUCGAUUUAGCUCUGGAUGUUUGUUGUAAGGGUUUUGUUACACGUGUUAUCAUAACACAAACAGUUAAGGACUAUACUGAGCUUGAAGACAGCUUCAUUGGAAAUUUCUUACCCAGAAUCAAAGAUUUUACAUUCUAGGCCUGUAUGUGAACCUUGACCUGGACAAUCUUACAGACAAUAAUAGAAAAGUCACCUGAAAUUGCACAGGCAAAUUCAUCAGAUUCAGAUGUGAGAACCAACUUUGUAAUGCCUGGAACACUUCCAUGGAGAAGAAAAAAGCCUGUCCUGCCAUCUUCAGGUAGACGCAGUAGUGGAUAUCCUGGCAAACCUCUAUUGGACUUAGAGCCACCUUGGGUCAAUCCCCCAUAACAAAUGUGCAUCUUAGGAUUGGCAAUCUCAAUCAGUUUUGUAGGAAAGGAGGAUUAGCGCCAUUGAAUUGACAAAUAUUGACAAUUGACAGUUCAGUCACACUAAACUAUAGUGGCAUGUUGCUUCAAGUUACCACACUUAUUCUAAGAUUGCUGAAUUAACAUUACUGUAGGAGACCCUGGAUCUUUCAACCAGAAGAAGAAACUUGGGGAUCAAUCAGUUAUAAGAUUAAAAUCUGUGGAACACUACCCAUCACUGUUGUGUUCAGUUUAUGGAAAAGAUGACCUUGAUAUUGGAACCUUGGAGAUUCAUAACUUGAUUUCACUCCUGUAAAAAGUAACUGCUUUGUUCUUUUACUGUCCAAUUGAUAAUAUGAAAAUAAAGUACUCCUCCAGUCAUUGUAUGUUGCUGACUCUGUUUUAAUUUUUUUUAUAGAAAAAGAAUAUAGAUAUCAAGAUAUGACAUGUAUUUACAAAGCCUAUGAAUCAUUUGAAAGGAAAAAGAAUGGUUGAAAAAUGCAAUAUAAAUCAUUUCUAGUGGAUUAAUUAGUGUUGCACUUGAGAAAACUGAUAAAAUGAGACAGUCAUUCCCUUUUACCUUUAGAAAAAUCAUUUGUAAUUUUUUUUCUCUAUUGCUCCCUAAAAAUAAGGUAUAUACACAAUGCUGAUGACACUGGAUAUGCACAGUAAUAACUUAUUAAAUGGGGU